rnacentral:rRNA from 1 species
GUGCCAGCCGCCGCGGUAAUACCGGCAGCUCAAGUGAUGUCCCAUAUUAUUGGGCCUAAAGCGUCCGUAGCUGGCCGACCAAGUCUCUCGGGAAAUCCACCCGCCCAACGGGUGGGCGUCCGGCGGAAACCACUCGGCUUGGGGCCGGAGGACUCGAGGGGUACGUCUGGGGUAGGAGUGAAAUCCCGUAAUCCUGGACGGACCGCCGAUGGCGAAAGCACCUCGAGAGGACGGACCCGACAGUGAGGGACGAAAGCCAGGGUCUCGAACCGGAUUAGAUACCCGAGUAGUCC